rnacentral:ncRNA from 1 species
CCCUGACAGCUGCAUGAUGUGGCUGACAUUCGCCACGACAGGAGACUCACAUG